rnacentral:tRNA from 1 species
GCAGUGGCAGUCAAUGGUAGAAUUCUUGCCUUUCAUGCAGGUGGCCUGGGUUUGACUCCUGGCCAGUGCA